rnacentral:rRNA from 1 species
UCAUAUGCUUGUCCCGAAGCUUAAGCCAUGCAUGUCUGAGAGUAACACGGUUUAAUAUUGGAAUCUGCGAACGGCUCCGUAUAUCUGUUGUAACCUACCCCCUCUAAGGGCCGCGGCGUCGGUAUAACCGCGGUAAUUCUGGGGCUAAUACAUGUAACAGUCUAGCUGUCGUGGGCCGCUCCCUGGAGCGCGCCCGGGCCUUGCCGGCUGACCACUGGGGGGCUUGCCCCCUGGCGUGAUGCGGGCAAGUACGCCUUACUGUAGCCACGCUACGGAGAGCGGGGUGGGCUUCAGACCUAUCAACUAGGCGGCCGGGGAUGGUCCGGUCGCGGUCACAACGGGUACAGAGGAUCAGGGUUCGGUCCUGGAGAGGUAGCCUGAGAAAUCGCUACUACUUCUAAGGAAGGCAGCAGGCGCGCAACGUUCCCCAUGGGGACACCCUGAGGACGUGAAGGGACAUACCAAUGCCCGGCCCAGAAAGCCGGGCAAUUGGAAUGGGGGACCUUUAAACCCCGCACCGAGUAACAAUUGGAG